GGACAGGUAGCUCAGUCGGAAGAGCGUCCGCCUGAAAAGCGGGAGGCCGGCGGAUCGAAACCGCCCCUGUCCACCA
rnacentral:tRNA from 1 species